rnacentral:rRNA from 1 species
AGAGUUUGAUCCUGGCUCAGGAUAAACGCUGGCGGCGUGCCUAACACAUGCAAGUCGAACGCUCUUGGCUUUGGUCAAGAGAGUGGCGGACGGGUGAGUAACACGUGGGUCAUCUACCUUUGGGUGAGGGAUACCGGCGAGAAAUCGCCGACAAGCCCGCAUAAGCUUUUUUCGAGAGAAGGAAGGAAAAUCGCUUCGGU